UUUCCGUAGGUGAACCUGCGGAAGGAUCAUUAAAGAGUAAGGGUCCUCUAGGCCCGACCUCCCAACCCUUUGUUUACCAAACCAAUGUUGCUUCGGCGGGCCCGUCUUAGGACCGCCGGAGGACCGUCGAAACGUCCUCUGGCCCGCGCCCGUCGAUGGCCCUUAUUAUUAAACUCUGAACCAAACGUGUCCUGUCUGAGUGAUUAUUAUCAAAAUUAAAGCAAAAACUUUCAACAACGGAUCUCUUGGUUCUG
rnacentral:misc_RNA from 1 species